UGGCUCAGGAUGAACGCUAGCUACAGGCUUAACACAUGCAAGUCGAGGGGAAACGGCAUUGAGUGCUUGCACUCUUUGGACGUCGACCGGCGCACGGGUGAGUAGCGCGUAUCCAACCUUCCCAUUACUGUGGGAUAACCUGCCGAAAGGCAGACUAAUACCACAUGGUCUUCGAUGAUGGCAUCAGAUUUGAAGUAAAGAUUUAUCGGUAAUGGAUGGGGAUGCGUCUGAUUAGCUUGUUGGCGGGGUAACGGCCCACCAAGGCAACGAUCAGUAGGGGUUCUGAGAGGAAGGUCCCCCACAUUGGAACUGAGACACGGACCAGACUCCUACGGGAGGCAGCAGUGAGGAAUAUUGGUCAAUGGGCGGAAGCCUGAACCAGCCAAGUCGCGUGAAGGAAGACGGUUCUAUGGAUUGUAAACUUCUUUUGUAGAGGAAUAAUGGCAGCUACGUGUAGCUGAGAUGCAUGUACUCUACGAAUAAGUAUCGGCUAACUCCGUGCCAGCAGCCGCGGUAAUACGGAGGAUACGAGCGUUAUCCGGAAUUAUUGGGUUUAAAGGGUGCGUAUGUGGCGUAUUAAGUCAGUGGUGAAAAGCUGCAGCUCAACUGUAGUCUUGCCGUUGAAACUGAUAUGCUAGAGAGGAGACGAGGUAUGCGGAAUGUGUGGUGUAGCGGUGAAAUGCAUAGAUAUCACACAGAACGCCGAUUGCGAAGGCAGCGUACCAGGCUCCGUCUGACACUGAAGCACGAAAGCGUGGGGAUCAAACAGAUUAGAUACCCU
rnacentral:rRNA from 1 species